GUGCUCACUUUGACAGCACAUAUACUAAAAUUGGAACAAUACAGAGAAGAUUAGUAUGGCUCCUGUGCAAGGAUGACAUGCAUAUUUGUGAAGCGUUCCACAUUUUG